UCGGCUGUGAGAGGUGCUCCUUUGGCGCGCGGCGCGGCGCGUGUGUGUGGGUGUGUGUGCGUGUGUGUAUGUAUGCAUGUGUGUGCGUGCGUGUGUGUAUUCGCCCCGACUGAAACUGUAAAGUUCACACCAGACGUGUUGCUCUCUCCGCUUGCCGGGGCUGGGGCUGAGGCCGCCCCAACUUCACUUGCCCAAGUGACUGUGUGCCUUGCCCGGCGCCUCCCGUGGUGCUGCUGCUGCUGCGGUGGCGGCGGCUGCUGCUGCCCGCCCCUCCGGCCGGCAGCGGCAGCGGCAGCGGCGGCGUAGACGGCCGCCUCCUCCUCCCAGCACACCUUGGAGCGCGAGGGAGGCUGGCUUGCAAGGGGGCUCCCUUGCCAACCCCACCACUUACACCUGCACCUGACGACCACCUUCAAGCCACUUCCCCCCCGGGCGGUGCCUGGCGAGGGCAGAAAGAAUUAUAUUCAGUGAGAACACAUCGUGGAGAGAGGAAAGAAUAAUUGAACAAUUACCCUCUGCAUUUUCUUUUGGACCUGAAGAAUGUUCCUGCUGAAACACUAAGGCAACUUGGAGAAGCAGCUCACUGCAAGUUGCUGCUAGAAGUGUGACAUUCUUUUUCAAGGUAA